rnacentral:rRNA from 1 species
GACGAACGCUGGCGGCGUGCUUAACACAUGCAAGUCGAACGGAAAGGCCCCUUUGGGGGUACUGGCGUGGCGAACGGUUGAGUAACACGUGAUUAACCUGCCCUUGACUUCGGUAUAACUUCAGGAAACUGGGGCUAAUACCGGAUAGGAAUCCUUGCCGCAUGGUGGGGGUUGGAAAGCUUCGGCGGUCUUGGAUUGACUCGCGGCUUAUCAGCUUGUUUGUGGGGUAGUGGCUUACCAAGGCUUUGACGGGUAGCCGGCCUGAGAGGGCGACCGGCCACAUUGGGACUGAGAUACGGCACAGACGCCUAAGGGAGGAAGCAGGGGGGAAGAUUGAACAAUGGGCGGCAGCCGGAUGCAGCAACGCCGCGGGCGGGAUGACGGCUUUCGGGUUGUAGAACGCGUUCAGCAGGAGCGAAGCUUGUGGUGACGGUACCUGCAGAAGAAGCACCGGCUAACUACGUG